rnacentral:rRNA from 1 species
CAGUAGCCGCGGGAAUACGCAGGUGGCAAGCGUUGUCCGGAAUUAUUGGGCGUAAAGGGCUCGCAGGCGGUUUCUUAAGUCUGAUGUGAAAGCCCCCGGCUCAACCGGGGAGGGUCAUUGGAAACUGGGAAACUUGAGUGCAGAAGAGGAGAGUGGAAUUCCACGUGUAGCGGUGAAAUGCGUAGAGAUGUGGAGGAACACCAGUGGCGAAGGCGACUCUCUGGUCUGUAACUGACGCUGAGGAGCGAAAGCGUGGGGAGCGAACAGGAUUUGAUACCCGUGUAGUCCCUGUCUCUUAUAC